UAUCAUACGCGUCCACUAGUGUCCUAAUAGUCGUGGAUAACAAAUAACAUGUUCAUUACGGCAUAACAAAUGUUAAAUAUUUAAUUUGAAAACAACAGAUCUAAGUUGAUACCGUGUAUGCGGUAGCACAUUCGAGGUACGAGGAUUUACAGUGUUGCCUAAGAACAAGUGUGAAUGUUUGGAUAUAUGAAUGGCAAAUAUAACCACAAAGACUACCAUCUUUUCAGCGGAAAAUAAUUCCUGUGUUAGAUUAAUUGAAUUCAAUAAAAACAUUGGAAACGAUUGAAUUUAAUUUGAAAGGCCGGACGCGUUAACCGCAGAUGGCAUCUUGCAAUCAUAGGCUAAACUGGUUUCGAUUGCCAAGAACCUUCACAAAGACACUGCUGCUAGAAAGAAUACAGUUAUAUGAAGGAUUCUAGACUACACAACUGUACUAUCCCAAAGCAAAUAUCAGGAUGUAAAAUGAAUAUCUUGCAUUGAUAUUAUCGCACCACAUAUGUUAAACUUAAUAUUAACAAGUGCGUUGUUAGGCCAUCUUAAUUGAGUAUCAACAUGUAACUGCAAUGACAAUUUUACAUGUUGACAGUAAAUAGUGUGCUCAAAUCUCAACUAUUUUCGAAGAAUGUAUCUCCGGAAACAUAUGCGUUCGACUUUGUAUAGGAUAACGUAUGAAUUUUGCGAAAUAUAUCGUUGUCUGGCAAACUUAUACCAAGUACGCACACUUUUUUUCGCUUCUUCAACCUUGAAAUGAAGUGCACUGAUACAAACCAGUUGAAUGCGUUUUAGAUAAUUCAAAAACCAAUGAUUGACGUGCGCCUCGCACGUGAAAGUUGUAGUGUUAUCGAUGUGUUAUCUUUCAGAUUAGAUUCAAAAAGUUACCGCAUCUAGUUACACGAGUGAAUGAUUAAACAAUAUUUCUUUUUAAUAAUUCGGUGGUAGCUGAUAGACGUAACAUCGAUAGAUCUAUUAAACACGAGUAAAUAUUGGAAUAUGUGUGCUUAUUAACAUUGUAUGAGUUUGGGGAGUUUUUUCCUUUGAGUUCAUUGAAGAACUUAUUAAGAAAUCAAGACGGAAUUUAAUUAGCUCUUGUGUCACACAGAAAUAAGCAAGGCUAAACUGGUGUUUGCCAUUACUCCAAACACGAAGCCUUCGAAAGAAGAGACGUUGAAUAUGAGUAAUCUUACAGAAAGCAGUAACGUAACAAGCGCUCCAAUUUCUACGAGAGACAUUCUGGAAGAAAAUGUCUCCGAAUGGUUGUGGAAAACUAUACCCAUUCCAUUACUUUGUGUUGGACUAGCAGGAAACAUCCUUACAAUCAAAGUAUUGCUACGAAUGGGAAUACGUAGACAACCAACGUUAACGUUUUUAUUGUUUCUGGCAGUGGCUGACAUGGUCGCACUUUUGACAGUGUUGCCAAGAUAUUGGAUUUAUUACACGUUCGAGUUUGAUAUCAAAACUGUAAGCAACGCGAAUUGUAAGCUAUAUUAUUUUUUCGUGUAUUUAUCAUUCCAUUUUUCGUCUUGGAUUUUAGUUGGCGUCUCCAUAGAGCGUACGGUUAAAACAUAUUUUCCACUAAGGUACAAAAACAUAUACAACUAAGCGGGUGCUUAUAGGCCUCUUCGUGACAUUGUUGCUCCUUUGUUGUAUCAACAUGCAUUUCUUUUUUACGAACGGUAUAAAUGAUUAUACAGAGAAUGAAUGUGGAUCAUUAUCUGCAGAAUAUUUAUAUUUCGACGAAUUCGUUUUUGUGUACAUAGACCUAAGCGUUUCGAGUAUCGUUCCCUUUCUGAUUAUGUUCGUGUGUAAUAUUUUGCUUAUACGAGUUCUCCGAAACGCACAGAGACAGCGACCCAGUUUGAUGCAUGAAAUGUUUGUACAACGAGCCAAUCGGUUCAGUGUGAAAAUGACAAAAAUGCUUGUUGUUGGUACGGUCUACUUCAUAAUAGCUACGGCACCUCUGUGCAUCUACUUUAUUGUCGACUCGUACCUGCUUCCAGGAUAUGAAGAAUCUGAUAAUGUUUCAGCAAUUGCUAGAAUGGACCUAAUUUGGACGGUCUGCUACUUGGUCGCAUUGUCAAACUGCUGCGUAAACUUUUACAUGUACACAGCAAUUAACGACAGAUUCUACAAAGAAUUUAUAGCAAUGCUGCGGUGUAAGCCAAGGUUACGUAGAGCUAGCGUAUACACCACAAGAAUGUCAAACAGCACACGCCGUAGAUCGGAGACAAGUCAGGGAAUAGAGCUUUCUCUAUCUGAGGAGGAACCAUAGAUGCGGCCGAUCGCAAUACCGGGACCGCUAUAAGUUAACCAGUGAAGAAUAUGCGCUAACAUGCCGAUGGAAACAAGGCGGGUUAAUACUUAAGAGUUUUCAUGUUUUUCAGUGGACAAAACCCGCGACGCAGCCGAUCGUAACAGAGAACUAUCAUAACAUACUUCUAUCGUUAUAAAUAUAAAAUGUACUUCUGUGUUUUCAAAUGACAUGCCUGUACAUUAAUUUUCAAAAAGAAUUUCAAGUAUAUAAUAAAACACCAACAGUGAGCAUCAUAUUUGAUUGAAGAUUUGCAUGCCUGCGGAAAUGUGCAUUUCGUCCGUUGUUAGCUUUUACAACGUUCACUUGAUGUUAUGAUAGAUUGUCCUGCGUAUGUUGUCGUUUCGGAAAAUAAAUCUAUAUAUGUGCGUAUAAGAGUUUUACAUAGUUUUGGUUAUAAUAUGCACACAAUUAUUAUAUGUACCCUUACAUAUGUAUUAUUUAUUGUUGUCAAUAAUAAUUGGUUUUCGUUAAAACUAUGUUAAUUUUAGGCAAUUUUUAAAUUAAAGGUAAAAAGUUUAAACGAAUGUGUGCAUAAUAUAAACAAACUUUAACCUCUUAUAAAUAACUUUUGCUUAUAAAGUUUGUGAUCGGUUUGCUUUGUGUGAAAUGUGACAUGUAACAUACAUAAUACUGCAUUUUUAAAGUGUUAUGGAUAAUACUUGGUUUACGAAAAACAAUACGAACAAUGGAUUUGAUAUAAGGUAAUGUUCAUAUUAUUGGUGUUCAAAAUAUAUUGUCUAACAACGUU